UGCGCCCGCUCGGUCCGCGCCCGGCGCUCGCGCGGUAGGGAGGCAAGAUGGCGGCGCCCAGCAGCGCGCCCCUUCCCUGCCCGGAGCCCGGCGCUGCUCCCUACGGCAACUUCCCCAACUACUCCCGCUUCCACCCGCCCGAGGCCCGCGUCAGCCUCCUGCCCGACGGCCUCUUGCGGCGGCUCUUCCCCGCGGCCGCUCGCCCGCUGCUGGGCCUCGACGUGGGCUGCAAUUCGGGGGAGCUAAGUGUGGCUCUGUACAGGCAUCUGCUCGGCCUUCAGGACAAAAGCAGCCUGGACCAGCCUGCAGCUGGGAAGGAUCUGCACCUUCUGUGCUGUGACAUUGAUGCAGCGCUGAUUGAGAGAGCUCGGCAGAGCAGCCCCUUCCCUGCCUCCAUAUCCUUUGCCAACCUGGACAUCAUGGACUCGGCUUCCAGGGAGCCGUUCCUCAGCUCCUACCUGGGCCGUUUUGGCCGUUCCACCUUUGACAUUGGCUUUUGCAUGUCUGUCACCAUGUGGAUCCACCUGCACCAUGGGGAUAGCGGCCUGAGGGAGUUCCUGGCCUUCCUCUCCUCGCUGUGCGAGUACCUGCUGAUCGAGCCGCAGCCCUGGAAGUGCUACAGGGCUGCUGCCCGCCGCCUGCGGAAGCUGGGCAGGAACGAUUUCGAUCACUUCCGAUCUCUUGCUAUCAACGGGGACAUGGCGGAGAGGAUAACGCAGAUCCUGACGAAGGACUGUGCGAUGGAGCUGGUGUGCUGCUUCGGGAGCACCAGCUGGGACAGAAGCCUCUUGCUUUUUAAAUCAAACGGCUCAAACCAAGAGGGCAGGGAGCCCUCGGGGUCGUAAGUGACCGACAAAUGGCCUCUCGUGUUCCUGAGCUCUCAGGCCAGGAGGCGUGCAGUGGGCACAGAGACAGCUGCAGGAAUUCCUCCAUCCCGAUCGGGGUCAGACCUUGACCUCCCCAGGGAGUUUGAGGCAGCUUGCUGCUUCUGCUCUGCAGGAAGCUGUCACAAGAUGAGACAGGUGGGACCCAGCUCCAUGACACAGCAGCAGAAGAAAGCCUGUGGAUCUCAGCUGCAGAACUUAUGUGUUCGUGUGCCUCUCUCCCACUGUCCAAGCACAAAGAAGCCCAGCUCACCUGCUUUCCUCCCCUUCCACGAGCUUCCUGUAAGUGAGGAUCUCCAAGUCCAGGGCCAGCUUGAUGUUCAUCAGCUCCUGGUACUCCUUCACCAGGUAUCCUCAGCAUUUAGUCUUCAGAACCUGAGAGGCUUCUCAAGGGAGAAAGCUUUGCUUGUGUAAAAUCGAGAAAACGGGACUGGCAUCAGAACUUAUCUUAAGUGUAAGCAUGAUUAGUGAAGAAACAGAAGACCUGGCAAAGCAAUUCAUGGAAAACAGUGCCCACAGACCAGAAGGUAACAAAAACCGUACGGGACAGGGUGGAGUCCUAAUGGCUAAAUAUCCAGCAAGGGAACCAACCCUGCAGGUGUUUAAAAACAGGUUUGAUAUGGCAGGACCAGGAUGGCAAAGACUUAGUCUGGGGCAAACGCAUUUCCUGAAGGCUGGCACCAGGCACGAGAGGCUAGUUUAGGGAACACACCAGUCCUCGUUGGCUCUUGUGGCAAGUGUGUGGCUUGCCCCGAUGCUGCUGAGAGCAGCAAUCUAAGCAGGAAACCACAGGGUCUCUUUUGGGCCUGAUCUGUGACCAGCAGUGGGUUGUUUGUUUGCCAUGCAUGAGUCCAGAAGCAUUCUGUGAUGGGUGUCUGGUAUCUCCCGCUGUGCUGCAGGACACACUAGGGGUGUGUUGGCUAUUCUGCUGAGAGCGGAGCAGGCCGUGCUCCCAGGGAGGCCCUGGCUUCCCUGCGCUUCCAGGACACCUCAGGCUCCUCUUGCCCUAAUGUGCUCAUAGCGUUUCCAGGCUGGGAAUUAAACCUUUGAGUGCUACUUGCAGAUGUCACCAAAUUGGAGGGCUAAGAUCUUUGCAAAUGAGGUAAAAUGGUAUUUCCUAACAGAGGAGUGAUAAUAAAAUCAGGAAUGACAGCCAUAUUCUGUUGUUUGACGGUCGGGUGCAUCAUCACUCUGGCUACAAGCUCUGCUCUGCUGCUGAACAAACUUUUACCAGAAAGAGGAAGAAGCAUUGGGAAUGCAGCACAGGGGACUGCUUUGCAGGGCAAGGGGGUGAGUCGUGCCUGGGAGCUGACCUGGAAUAUUGAAAACAGUUCCCUGGAGCCAUUGCUUCCUCCACAGAGGAGAUAGCGAGGGCACAGGAGGGAUCUGAUUGUCGCAGGCUCUACAGUUGGGCACUUCUAAGGCUCCCCUUUUGUAUCCCCAUGGUGUUAAACUCACCCUUUCCUUGCCUGCUUUUAUAGGGCCAGGCAGCGUGGCUAACAAGAUUUACCUGUCUGGUUUUUCUGCUCUUCAGCUGGAAUGUUAGCCAUGCUGCCAGUAACUAUGUACCGAGCUUAAUUACAGCCUGCCACUCUUCCUUCAUCCUCAUGGCAUCUCAGCCCAAUCCCAGUCUGUCCCAGCCUGCUGAAGCAGCUUCGCACAUUGCCGGGCGCUGACAUAAUCCUGCGUGUGGAACAAACAACGCUCCUGCCUGAAAGGGAGCAGGCCAAGCAAGCCAAACAUGCUCACCGCACGGCUCCGGAGGGACGUGGCGGCCGGGAGGUGACUCACAUGGGGAUGGAGCCUUCCACAAACACAUUACAGCAUUUAUCUCCUUAAAGGUAAUCCUCAAGCAAUCAUGCAUUAAGGCACAAAUCCAUCCUAUCUCACUUCAUGCACUUAAGCCGCACUUGAGACAGGCGUCUGGUCGCCUUGGGCUCCUUCCAUAAUCAGUGAAGCAAAAUCAGAGCUGAACUGCAUUUCAGGCAGGCUACGUUCCUCUCUGGACACACCUCCAAGACUACCUUAGGGUGAAGAUACAGUGGUGGGAUAGAUCUGAGCCUGGUGGCAUGGAAUUAAGUCAGUCGCUCUUGUGGAGCAAGGAAAGGGGGGAGGGAGCCACUGAAAACCAGCUGCAGAGGCAGAGGUACAUUGGCUGACCAAUCUCCAGGGGGAAGGCUUGAUUGUCACAAUACCUGGGUCUCAGUAAUGGCCCCUCCAAAGGCUGGCAACCCCAUAUUUUCCUGCAGUGUUCUCCUAGUCCCACCCCAGAGUUGCUCGGCACAUGCAAAAAUUCCCUGCCUUCUCAUUCAAAUGGCUCUUUGCAUGUGCAAAUCACGCGUGGGGAGCUGAAGCAAAAGCUUCACUCCUGGGCAGUCCUACUCGAAUAUGUUUUGGUAUUUGAUUUUUAGCUUGAUUUCCUAAAGAAGCAGGGUUUGAGACCCUGUGUCAGCCUUCGAUUUAUUCUGUUGUCCCUUCUCCAUCCCCUCACUUUGGAACAGUGACAACGGAGAAUUGAUGCUGGUCAACGUUACCCUAAGGAAGCUGGAGAAGGUGAAAACGUCCCAGCUAGCUAAGUUUCCUGUGUGUCUUUUGGAAAGCAAUCCCUUAACAGAAAAGACAGACAAAUCAAGGCCUUCCCGAGGAGCACUGACAGGCAGAUUCACUUAGGAUCUCUUGGGCAGCAGCCUGCCUGGGCACCACUGCGUGCAUGGCUUUCUGGAGUGCCACAGCAGGGACGAGCAGAUGCCCAAUUAAAAUUGCUAGUGGAGUUACUACCUUCUGCUUCCCCAAAAAUAUUUCCCUUGGGAAAAGAAACCUCUGCAAGAGCUGGAAGCCUCCAAAAUUUGCAUGGUUUAAGUAGACCAUUCGCUCCAGAAAAACAACUGGGCUGAGGCAGUUGUCUUGCAGGAUUCAACAGAGCCAGUGUGGGUUAGGACGGGGUUGGAUUGCUGCCUGGAGAAAGCUCAGCAGAAGCAGCACUUCUCUCCCCGUGAAUCACCAGUGGCCGGGAGCAGCUCAGCGGAUUGUCACUGUCGCAGAAAUCCACCGGCGCUGGCUUCGGGGGUUAGCAGCACCCAAUGACAGGGUGGGUUUUGCUUACUUGCUGCUUAGGCCACCCUGGCAGGGCUUGUGCCUUGCAGCUCACAAAUAGAAAGCGGAGUGGGAGGGCUCUGUAAGUGAAGGAAGAGCGCUCGGAGGAGCAGUGUCAUUUCCGAAGGCUAUUUUCCUGUGGCUGUGUAGUCCCACAAAGCGGGAACUUUUCCCAAGACCAAUAGUUGUACCAUAAACUGCUCAUAAACUGGUGCCCAGUGUGGAUUCCCUGCUGUCUGAUCCCGUGCAGGUUUACACGCUAUGUCCUUACCCCCUGUGUGCGUUGGGUUGGGAGGUGGUCCUGUUCCUCUAGCUGGUCGUGGGCUUUGAAUUUCUAGCAGUAAAGCAUAUCUGUCUUGUCUACCCGUUUGUCCAACUAGGUUGAAACUGUCCAAGAUCAGAAAUUAGGAGGGAAACACACAGCCAGCCAGUUUGCCUAAGCACCUUUAUCCCUAAGAAACUGGGCUGAGAAAUAAAUGCAGACAUUCAUUUAAAUUCAUAAAAAUAAAUUGCCAGACAUGGGCAAUUAAUGAGGUAAUUACUGAGAACAAAUGAGGGUACAAGCUGUGAGAGCAGAUACGUGUGACUGAUCUGAUGUUUCUCUACCAGCCUGACCGUUUUCCCAUCUGGGUUUUCCUGACUGUCGCAGAAUAAAACAAGGAGUAUCUCUUGUAACAGCAUGGCCACAGAGCCAUUGCUUCCCAGGGGAUGUACAGGGAGGAACAAGUGCCCCAGAGAGGUCUUGAGGUCUUAUUCCCUUUCCUAAAACAUUUAAAUGGCACAAUCCCUCUUAUGGCUUGAAUCCAAGUUCAGGCUGGCUACCUGUCAGCAAAGCAAGCAGCAGCGAUUCCAAGUCUGUUAGUGAAACCAGCAUCCAAAUGAAUUACGGGCACCCACCACGAGGAACUCGGGGAUCUGUAGGCAUCUGUACAUAAGUGCAUCAGUUCUGGAAAGAUGCUCAGCAUCAUGAUUUCAGCAUAAGGUCAAGAGCCAAUCUCUCAGCUCCUCUUCCUGCUCUGCCACCAGCUCGCCCCAUGCAGCUGCUGUCUCCCCGUUACCCCGUCCGUAAAGCGGAGGUAUCAGUCCUUCCCCUAAUUUGCAGACACGUUGAGCAGCUGGUUUAAUCAAGGUCUGCAGGGAGCUUUAAGAUCCUUGGGCUAAACUCUGGAGAAGGGCACUGUUAUUAUUUAUGCAUCGCUUUGUUCAUCAGGAACAGGUUUGGGCUAUUAUUACAGCGAUGUCUAUCAGUGCCAGCGGAGGGGUGGGCCCUUAGCAUUGUUGUUCUGUUUUGACAGUGCCCACAGGUGGGUCGUCGCUACAAAUCAGCACGGAAGGCUCCAGAGAGCUUGUGUAGGCAGCUGGGUGUAACUGUAAGGGAAAGUAUCUAAUUGUGGAUUCAUCUGUGCGGUAUGUAAAUGACACCGAUAAUAAGGAGAGCAUUGUCUUCUUAAAUGAGCCACGGAGCAUCUCCAAUCUUCUUAUCAGAAGAUCUUGAAGCUCUUGACAAAAGCAGCGAUAAGUGCUCAGCAGCUGGCCCUCUCUUAAACUUCCAGCUGCCUUCCUAUUUUCUGUCCAGAGGUUUUCUGGGUAAGAAUUUGACUCCUUGGUCAAAGCAGAAUUUUGCUUUAAAUUUUGUGGGGAGAAUAGGGAAAAGAGGGGGUGUUUGUUAAUGCUAAGUAGCCUAGUCCAUAAAACAGUUUGGGGAGGAAGUUUUGGUUUGUGAUAACAGCGUGGAGAAUAAAUAAUUCUUUGUUAUAUUGGCUGUCAUUCCUGGUAAUAUUGUUCCCCAGAGAUGUACUCUGGUCUGAGGCCUUUCUCAGAUGCCCUGAUGAUUUGCUUUCUAUGGGUUACUUCCAUCUCUAGUUAGGAAGAGACUGGGAAGCUAACCUCUCAAAUGCACAGUUCUAUUUAUUCCUCAGAAUAACUGGCUGGCUGUGCUAAAUCAGUGCCACGCUACUCCUUGUCCACGCAGCUUAACCCAUUCCCCCUUGCACAUCCAAGGAUAUACCAGGAUUAUACCUACUUGCUUCGAAAGUUAUCCAUGGUGCUCAGGACCUUUGUCAGCUCCAACUCGAGAUUUUCCUGCUCAUAGUUGAGUGCCUUCAUCUCUUGAUUCAUUUUGCUCAUGUACUGAUCGUAGAUGGCCUUCAUGUCCGAUUCGGAGUGGGAGUUGUCUUGGUCCUUCAGGAAAUUCCACCGUGUCGUCAGGAUCUUGUUCUGUUGCUCUAGGCACUGGACCUGCCGAAGAAAUUUCAGAGCCUUCAGCAACACCAACAGCUGAUAGCAAAACUGACCGGGUGCCUCUGGUCUGGAGACCUCUGGCGUAGCUGCUGGACCUAGCUGAGAUCUCCAGGUGAGAAGGAGAAACCCCCUAAAGAACAGGCCUGGGACAUGCAGAGGUUUUACACGUUACGUGCUGCUUAAUUUCUUGAUAGGUCAUGCUCACAUCAAAGUGAAAGAGCAUCUCUCAUUAAGUCGCUGAAAAAUAACAAUUGUUCAGUGCUAAUCCCCUUUACCUCUGAAAGUACGAAAUAAAAUCUGAAAAUCCACUACUGAUCAUGCAUAGAUGUGUUGUAUAAUGGGAUUCUGAUUUUACUGCCUCAGAGUGGCACAAACUCAAAACAUCAGAAAAGAUAACUCCUUUCAGAUCUGUAGGAUUACACCACGGCAAAGCCUGAGCGGUGAAUCAGAGUCCUGGGUUGUAUUGCAAAGCAGCACGGACAAGAACUAUGGGAACUCUAGAGAGUGAGUGAAUAAUUAGGCUCCAUGUGAGGUCUCUGUGUGCCUGUCUGCUUGAGAGAGGAUACAUUGCAUUCUCAUCCACCCACUAUUCAAAUCUGUCACUCUUCUUUCCUAAUACUCACAAUCUGGACAGUAAUGCUCAGUGUUCAUCUUCAAAGCUCUUGACUAGCUUUAAUUAAUUAUUUAAUUGUUACUUCUCUGUCGCAUUGCUCUGUGAACAAAACCAAACUCCUUCAGUUGCAUUUUGGCUGGUGAUUUCUGAGCUGUCGGUUGCCUCCAGAAACCUUCUGUCAUGGAGAUGAUGCAAUGCUGAGAUAAGUGCAUCUGCGCUGCAAAGAAGCAGCUUCAGCGAUGCCUUGCGCGGCGAGAGCAGUGGAGCGCAGGAGGCUGUGUAACUUCUUGUGGUCACAAGCAGCAUCAGUGAAUUGAAGAGGCAGUUCCCUGCUGCUGAGCACUUCACAGAUGCACACGGUGAGAGACAGCAUCUUUCCCAAAGAGCUGCUUAUCUGAGCAGAGAGAGAAGCGGGAGCAUAGUGCAGCCAAACAAAGCAGUUCUCAGAUGUUUGCAGUCUGUUAUUAGCAGAAGGGGUAGGAGCUUUAAGAUCUGCCAGGUCUCGCUGUUAGAGACCUAAUCCUUUUUUUCCUGAUAACAUAGUACAUGUCUGUAGACAUCAAGUCGGUCGUCCAGUCUGGUGACUGUCUGCUCUGUCCUGGCUCUAAACCAGUGUCACAUUCUGUGUGCAUGCGUGAGGCUGCGUACCUGCAGGGUGAUGCUGUGGUGGAGCCAGAAAGGGGCAUUACAGGUGGCAUGAGGAAGUGGCCUCCGGGGCUACCUGUCAACAAUUGGGCCAUUUGUUCUCUCCAUCUGAGGCAUCUUAGGGAGUGCAAUAGGGCAUCCCUCAGAAGACUGUGGUCAGCAGGGCUGGGAUCAACCUGCGGGACUGGCUGUGAAGAACAACUUCUCAUUUUAAGGCAGCUUCCCCAUUUGCUACUAGAAUAGUAAAUGGUUGCAUUGGCUGCUGUCUCUCACUGACCCUCACAUCAAGUCUCAGUUCCUGACCGUGCUCCUAAUGGUUUGUUGCUCUUUUUCCCCCUUAACUUCUCAGUUUCUUUCCUGUUCUCAAGCCAUACCCAUCCGCUGGGCUGAACUGCUUUCAUCUUGGCUUCUCAUACAGCAUCCUUUCCUGCAAAGUCGUUUAAUGUGAGCUUUGCAGCAGAAUAAUCACCCAAAUCUGGCCUCAUAUCCUGGGAAGACCAUGACUGAACACAGAAGUGACCAAAGCGUAGUCCUUGGAGGCCUCUGCACCUGAGCUGCUCAGGGUAAAGGCAGGGCCUCAAACAGGGAUGUGGUUCCUUGGCUGUUCGUUGUCUUUCACCUGGACAUAUCUGGAGCAAAUGGAAAGGAAAUACUAGCAGAUCUGGAACAGCCUGCUGGAAGCCCAUCAGCAGCAAGCUCCUAAAGUUAUUGUUGUCAAUUACCUGAGGAAUUAGCCGCUCAGGCUUGAGACCAUCUGAAUUCCCGAUUAAAAAGACAAGUUCUCUGUGACAAGGAAGUGUCAUUACUUUCUUCUGGAAUGAGAGCCUGAGGCAGAUGGUUGAAGUUUACCACUUACGUGCCACUUGAAGCUGCAGCCUUCAAAGCUAAAUGCAGAAGCUGCAAGUGCUGAAGACAAAGCCGCCUAACUAAGGUGGAGUAUUUGUAUCUUCUGUCCAUCAGGCCCGUGCUUAUCGGCAGGCCACCAGCUUGGGCUUAUCGUGAAAUCUGGAGCCUCUGUCACUUCUUCCAUCUCUGUUUGCACGGAACAGGCUGGUGCCUGUGGUCUGGCUUACGUACGUAUUGUCACUGUGUGGUCUUGCCCCAUCUCCCCUGCUCCCAUCCUUUCUCCUGUGGUCUGGUUUCUGAGCAGGGCUGGCUGUAUGUGCACGCAUCCCUCUUGUUCUGGAUAGUCAGAGGACCAGGCCAGCAGCACAUGCAACAAAACCUAUCCAGGUGAUUUCCAAAGCAGUUGUUUUCCAGCUUUGCAUUGCCAAAAUCAGUGCUUAGAAAAGCAAAGACGCGGAGGCUGCCUUGCUCCUCCAUGCAGGGUCAGCCCCCUGGCACCACCACCCGCCUGUUUGCACAUGUGGGUGUGGUGGGUACGCAACUAUUCGGUUGGGAUAGAUGCUAUGGGAGAUGGUCCCCCCGCCCUUCUCCUUCCCAGUGUGAACUCAGGUCCUCUUAGAGGUAGACUUAAAGAAAAUAAUAAUAAAUAAAUAAAAUCCCAAGCUGUAGUAGCUUGGCAUUGAGAGCCUGUAUUGUAGACUGCAGUGAAGCAAUCCUCCUAGGAGAUUACCAUCUGUUUACAGAGCACCAGGGCUUUGCAGAAACCUGCCUCGGCUGGAUGAGUUGUUUUCCUUUGAGAAAAUCUUCUGCCUUCUCAUGGAUCUUAAGAGAUGAAAGCGACACUUUCUUGGCUGAGCGUGCAACCCCUCACGGUAAAAACCACAGAGGAGGGAGGUGUUGGGGGGGGUCUCCCUUGCCCGCUCUGCACCUCCAGGGGUGAAUUUCCAGCUGUCUUUCAGCAGCCAGAGAAGAACUGGAGCGGCCACCUCAGGCAGCGUCACUGCUCGUGGGUGUUUGUCCACCACAGGAGCCCAAGGCCUGCCCUGUCCGGCACCGUGCCUCCACCACCCUGCUGUGCUCAGGGAGGGCCAGGUCCCCGAUGGCAGAGGUCACCCAGGGGGUGACAGGCACAGCGAAGGAGACACACAGGCCACCCGCUGCUGCUGACCACAGAUGUGGCCCAGCUUUACCUAGGGAUGAUGCUAGCCCUUGUCAAAAGAGAUAGCACCGAAGGAAUAACUAAUUGGGUAAUUAGCCUGAUAUUCAGAGCCUGGCAGUGGUUAGCUGAAGGCCUCCAGAAGUCCCCUGCCAGACUGGUUAGCGUUCGCUUCCCCGCCACCAUCCUCAUCCCCACACUGCGCCGUGUCCUCAGCAGCUCGCCUUACCUUCUCGAUUAGGGUCACAAACUGGUUGUUGAGCAGCUUGAUGUCCUCCGUCUCCUGCUGCCGCAUGGCUUGGAAGUCGGUGUCGAUAUCAAGGUGCACGGGAGCCAGGAGCCUCCCGUCGAUGGAGAAGUAAGAGGAGCUCUGGUAUCCGCCAUCUCCGUGGAGGCUGAGGGAGCUGUAGCCAUUGCUGGCCACGCCGUUGGGGCUGCAGCGGCCCAGGCGAUCUGGGGACGUGCUGGCUGCUUUUCCUCUGCUCAUCUUCCCUGACACCUCCCAGGAGGAGAGGGAGCCACUAGUGAAGGCUUUGCAAGGGUUAGUCAUGCUCAGCUUGUGGCUCUGCAGCUCUAGGGGAGGAGAAGGGAGGGAAGGGAGAGAAAAAAAAAAAAAGAGAUGAAGUUUUCUUGCUGCUGCUGCCUCAAAGGGAAGGAGAGUAGUGGCACGCUGAGGAGCUUGGUCGGCUAAUUCCUGUCUCCUCAGCUCGUGGGUUGGCUAAUAAAUUACAAGCACCUGUUCUCCUAUGUUCAUUAAACGGAGGAGGGUGUAACCGUUGAUGUAAUCCAGAUCAACCUGUUGGCUUCUCUUUUUUUUUUUUUUUCCUCCUCUCUCUGUACCCUCCUUUCUUCAGGAGCUUGUUUGUGUGGUGAGGGCAUAGGCACUCGCAGCAAAAACAAAUCACUCACAGGUAAUUCGCCGGGCCCCAAGCGGCUGCUUUCCUCAUCCUUAAAUGGUGAAGAAAGCAGCCAAAGGAGCUGGGCUGCUGCAGGCUCGGGGAGGACGGCUCCGAGCCUGGCUGCUGCCGUCGUGCUUGGCGCACGGAGCCCGGGUUCAGCCCAUGGCUGGUCUCCAGCCAAAGGGAUUGUGAUUUUUUUGGGAGUGGGGAGUGUUUGGCUGAGGAAAUCGUAAAGCAGGAGUCAGAAUUUGCUCAGGGUAGGAGUUUGGAAACGUGUCUCAAGCUCGUCAUAAUUACACUUGCUCAUGGUCUUCCGUUGACCACGCAGGUGCAUCACGCAAGCCUCUGAUGGUCUGAGUGCUUGAGGGAUGUUGGGUCUGGUCUGGAGACCCCUUGGGUGGGCCAAGAGUCCUUGGGGUCAUUUGGUCAGCUGGCCUGGCAGCAACAGGGGCCUUCAGAAGCACCAGGCUGGAUCUCAGAAGUGCCCAUGUCCCUCUUUGACACCUGCCUUUCCCCUCCCCAAAAGCUGUGUAAAAGCUAACUUUGGGAGACACCAAAAACCACUGUCUUUUAAUAAAUUCUAGCCUGCUGAGGUGGCACGCCCUUAAAUACUUGUUUGGACCUAGGCAUAAACCAACGUUGGACACGGCUCUCUUGAAAGCUUUUUCCUGCUUUAGCUCAGUUUCUCAUGUGAAAAAGCAGGACAGAAGAACACCCACUUCUGCCUCCUUAGCUUGAUUAGCAUCGCAGCGUUCUCAGGAAAGGGGAUGGUCUUCUCUGCCCCAAAUCUGCAAUUUCCAUUUUGUGGGAAAGCUGCUGUUUUUUACGGACUGCUUCUGCCCCACGUUGGAAGGCACACUGGGAAUUUCCCUGCUGAAUGAAGGGGGAGAAAGCUUGGGUCUGUCACAGACCUGCUCCAAUAAGGAAUGUGUCUCAUGAUAGUAGGGGUUUCUGGCUUUAAAAGAGCUUCCCAGGGAAGCUGACCCAUCCUGGUGGGGUUAUCCUUUUCUUCAAGUGUAGUUUCAGUGUUUUGCCAAGAGCAGCGUGCUUUCCCAACGGCACGUCCAUCUCGCCUCACGUGUUUCCUGUGAUAAUCCAUCUGAAUACCGAGUCCCUCGCUCAAUGGAUCAGUGUCAGAUUUUCCAGCUUAAUCCUGAUGCUUUAUUUUGAGGAUUAAACCAAAAUAUAUGGUUGAGAGAUGACAAAGCUCAUGGCUCUCGCAAGGUGAGGUGAGAUUAUCUCAUCGUGGGCUGCUCGUUUGUGGCUUUGUGGUUGCAGGCACAUCAGUGCUGCUGAUUAGCAUCAGGUCACGGAGCCACGUGGCAGGUUUUUUGCUUCAUCUUGUACCGAGGGCAGUUGUGAUGGCUCCCUAGGAAUGAUCCCUCCAAGGGAAGGAGAUAGAGGUGAAAUUAAGCUAGUUCAAUUUAAUAGCAGCUGCGAGCUGUGUUCUGCACGGAGCUAGGCUGGGUGCUAGCACGAUGGUGUUUUGCAAUAUCCCAGGGAGUGCUGCUGCAGAGAAAGCGCUGCUGGUCACUGCGUUGGCAACCACAUCUCCCUGAGCAUCAGUCCCCACUCCUUUCUCCUGCAAGCUUCGAUCCUUUGUCUCCCCAUUAUCUUUUCCUUGAAAUGAAACUUCUAACGCUGGCUCCAGCCUGUAAGAACACCCAGUCUGGCUGAAAUAGCAUCGUGCAGUGCAGAAUGUCAGGGUUUAAAACAAGAACAAAUGUUUGUCCAGAUCUAGUUGUAGCAUUCUGGUUUUGGAGUCCUGGGUCCUGUAUAGGAUCACGUUCUAUAUCCCGUGUCCUCUCUGCUAGGUGCUGCUCAGGUGCUGGGGAGGGAGGCAGGAUCACUCUGCCACGGAAAGAUGCUGGAGGAAGAUGGCUGAGGAUUAAAGCUCCCUUUCAUGCUUGGGAAAGGCAGGAUGAAAAGCUAUUUUCCAGGGGUAGCAAUGGGACCUCUCUGCUCUGAGAUGAGCAAGGUUUUUCAAAGCUCUGUCUCCUUCCAGGAGGACGGGUAUAAUUUGCUGUAACCCUCUAAGGAAAGUGUGUGCAAGUGGUCAUCUGCUGGCAGGUGAUGUGAGGAUAUGUGGGAAGAGCUUGCAAAGAGAGGAUUAUCUUGCUUCCUAACCUCUCCUUUCUAGGCACCAAGCUGAAGCUCCUGUGGUCCCACCUGCUAGGCAGUGGGGUGAGAUGGGGACCCAAACUUGCCCCUUUAGGGAAGAGAGUGCUGCUGCUGCUGGGUCCUAGGGAACCUUAAUUUGUGAGAGCAUUACUCCUCGGCAGUGCUCCAACAGCCUGACCUGAUCCUGAGAUUGAUGCUGCUCUUUGGUCUUUUAGGCGCACUUAAACGUGGAAACCUGUGACCCUGUUCCAGGGAUGGAGAAGGGAGGGCUGCUUCACACGGUGUGCAGCCAAAGCCUCGCUGCGUGUUUCUCUCCCUUGCUGUCUUCCCUGCCCUGUGGGAGAGGCAGUGCUGAGUCAGGGUGUUUUUUUCUCUUCCUGCUGAUGUUCUCGAUGCUCCUCCUCAGCCAGGUAUUUGGUUCAAUUUGGAAAUGGCUGUUCUCCAAAAUCUGGCUUUGAAAUUUGGUGCCAGCCGUGUUGACUGCCCAGCAAAACGAGCUGAAAAAAGGAUCUGAAUCUGGAUGAUCUUCAGAGGUCCCUUCCAACCACAACAUUCUGUGAUUCUGUGAACAGGAGGGGUGGAGGUGUGAUGAAGAUGAGGUGGAGAACAUGAUGAAGGGUUCAGCCACCUCCAGCCUGUGUCCUGCCCGUGUCUGUGCAGCCUGGUCUGGCUUGAUCCUUCAGAUGAAGGAGCUACCACCCAAAGAUGCUGAGUGACCUGAGGGUCUCCCGUUUUGGAGAUGUUUUUGCAGCAAGGCAACGCAUUGCUUCAAGCUUGCAGUGUGGUUGUUCGGUAGGUUGAGGUCUGGGGGUGGGCACGGGGCAGCUGAAGCCACCACGGGGUCACUUAUAGGUGGUUAAGCCUCUGUGCAAACAAACCUGGAGCCUUGUCACCUUUCCCUUGGUACAUGGAGAUUUAUCCCAGCCAUCUGGCAAAGCACCUUGUAGGGCUAUUGGCUCAAUGUAUGUAUGCUUAGUAAAAUAAUUUAUCUAUCGAGAUUCCAUAAGUAAUUGCUGUUUAUUAAGUAUGGGUAACGUAUGAAGCAUGAACGGCGAAUCAGCAUUUGCCCCAAGGAAUCAGAAUGAUUAAGGUUAAGCAAGACAGAGACAGGGCUAAGGGGUGCAGAGAGCCACGGAGGUAAUGAGUGGGUCAGCAGGACUUGUUUAAGCCUUGUCAGGCACGCGAGGAGCGUCUGGAGUGGGAGCUGUGUGUGGCGGGGCAAGUGACACAUCGCAGGGGAAUGGCUGAUAGCGUGGCCACAGGGAGGACAAGGCAGAGCAGCUGCAGGUUCCUGGUUCCAGAGAGCUCAGUUUGGUCCCCAAAGCUUCAGGUUUAAAACCAAAAAAGAACCAGAAGAAAGCCCCUGAUUGCUUUUGUUAAAUUGGCUGCUGGCUCAUCCCGUGAUAGCGAAGGCAUUUACCUGCUCGUAGGCUGGAGACGGGUUCUGGAGACAGCCGUGGGGCUGCAGGCCAGCAGAGCUGGGUUUGUGGCGAGGGGCUUUGAUCGCAGAGACGCCUUAGUUCAGCUGUUUCUCAGCCCGGCUCCACGGUGCCUGGUGGAGAAGGGAAGGUGCCGGCCUGGGCUGGAGGCACGGCCAGAGCAGCGCUGUGGCAGGAGAGCUGGGGACAUGCCAGUGACCACAGGGCUGCGUGCUAAUUUGGGCCCACGUGUGGUUUGCCAUUGCUUUCCUUGUCUGCUGCUGCCCAGCCCUGGGGGGACGGUGCUGGGCACCGAGGGAAGCGCUGCAGCUGCCUUACCCAUACUGGAUGGGGACAGCACGGCUGGGCAGGGAGCUGCACCCCAGCUCUGCGGCUUUGGGGAUGUUGCUGGGGGGGCUGCCUGGGGAUUGCUCUCCAGCUUUCCCCAGCUCCGCUUCAUCCUUGCUUUGUCCCUCUGUUUUCUUUUCAUGCCCAUCCAAACUUCUAGUGUCACGUUUUCAUCCUUUCCUCCUCCUUUUGUUCCUUUAUGUGCCUGCCCAAACCCAUCCACAGCCCCUUCCUCCUUCCAGCCUGCUGCCCCCUCCCCUCCUCUCGGAUUUCUGGGUGCAACAUCAAGCAGCUCAAACUGCCAUCUAAAUCACUUCCCCAAAACAGACGUCACUUGCAAAGAAUUUAUAGAAGGGCUUGGAAGGCAGGACAGGACAUGCCCACAUCUGCUUCGCGCUCAGGUUUCCAACCCAUCUGCUGCACUUUUGCUCAUGUAGUUUCCAGGAAAUGUCAAGUUUUGAAAGAAGAAGAAAAAAAAAAAAGUCAGGCUAAUUAAGUGGUGGUGACAUCACUCGUUUCUGCUGCGGUGCCACAGCCUCUUCCCUCCCCGCUGUGCAGAGCGGCUGGGUGAUACCGUCCGUGCCUAGGGCUCUGCCCUGGGCAACUGCAUCCCAUCAUCUCCAGAAUAAAGGGACAUGGCUUCAUCUCAGAAACCGCUGCUUUCUCUGUUGGCUGAAGGCUGUUCCAGAGUCUGAAUCUCUGGGUGUCCUCAGCCGUCCAUCGCCACCGGUCCCAGUGCCAACCAGUGGGAUCUUAGAGCCCACUCUUUAUUUAGAGCUGUGUUGGAGCCUGGCUCCUUUCUACUAACCUGUUCUGUUACUUUGGCAAAUGGCUUUUCCUUUCUCCUUGUCCCUGCUUGUAAAAAAGGCAUAAAUGAGACAGAGUGUGAGGAUUUACUGCUUAGUGUUUCUCAAUCCACACUUGGGCAAAUGACUUCAUUCCUUUUAGACAGCACCCAGUAUCCACCACUCCGAUUACAAUCUGGCUCUGUGCUCUUGUGUCACUUUUAAUUAGGCAUUUUGUUUCUGCAUUGUGUGUCAUUCUCACAUGGUUUGCAGCAUAAAUAAUGAUGCAUUGUGUUUCAGUGGGUACUGCGAGCCUUUAGCUCUUAAUGAGGUUGCAUGGAUAUUUAUGAAGCCGUGUACCUGUUUUGCAACAUGCAGGUUGCAAGGCUAAAACACACUGGGAUCUCUCUGUGGAGAGAGAAAAGACCUGAAAUACCAAAGUGAUGCUUGGUAGGUGGGCAUCUGCCUUGGGAAUUGCAGAAACCUGUAAUUUUGCCCCAAGGUGGGGGUUGUUGGCUACGAUUGGAGCAAGCCCAGCCUGCAGCAGCUCCUCUCUUAAAAUCAGCGUUGCAGAAGUAAGUCCAGAAAUGUAAAGGAAGACAAAAAAAAACCCUGAUGAGGUCAUAUGAGGCAAUGUGUCUUUGGGGGUGUCUUGUCUCUCUGUGAGGACUGGGGCUCCUGCUACUUGUGUCCUCAGGUGGAAGAAGUGGGAAGAGAAGGGGACGGUGUCACUGCUUGGUGAGGCAGCUUUGGUAGCACAGACUGGGAACAAGGAGAUGUGGGACCCCCAGAAGGCUGGGUGGGAGGUGCUUAAGCUGCCUUCUCCAGCACCUCCAUGCCCCUCACUUGCAAUUGCUUUGUGCCUGCUCUUUUCAGAGGCCACGUGCCCAAACCAUCAGGCCAUAGGUCUGUAUUUACCUUUUUUUUCCAGCUGCUUACGUUGACUGCAUCUCAGUGUCCCUUACUUCCCACCUUGUGCCACCAACACCUUUCUGGAACGAAGGCAAAGAAGUCACCCAGCCGUGCCCACACCUUACCACAGCUCUCCUCGGGGCGCGUUGUCGUGCUGCACGCUUUGUAAGUGAUGCAACCCAAGGCUCCUCAGCAUGGGCAGAGAGCAUGGCACGGCAGCUCCUGGUCACUGCUUGCUGGGCUGCAGAGGGGCAGUUGCUGCGUGCGUGGUUUCGGUGCUGUUACCUUUGGGUCCAGCUGGCUCCUGGACCUUCCUCCUCGCAGCUCAGCGUGCGGUCGGGAGCUGCUUGCUGUCCCGACAUGUCUGCAAGGGAAGCUUUGGCACCAAAUGGCGUGCCCUGUAGCGUAGCUCAGCGGGUUCGUACUACGCACGCCACUCAGGCACGGGCCCAAGUCAGCACCUUGAGGCAGAGAGAGGAAUCGCCCGCUCCUCUCGCUCCGGCUUGGCUUUGGAGGGCAGUUACGGGGUGGUACGGCGGGGGCUGUGUGUGCACGUGCAAAGGCCCCGUGCAUCGGCACGUGCACGCGUGUGUCGGGCUCAGGCCGGUGCUAAGCCCAGGAGGAAGCCUUGUAAUCCUUGUUAAAUCUGGUACCUGAUCUGAUUCACCCUGAUUUUAAUUCCUGGGGUCAAAUUCUACGCGACUGAUUCAUGCCUGGUGCAUGCAGUAAACUGGGAGCUCGGUCCUGCCUUGAAUGGCCCUUAAAAAGCUUUUCUAUAGAAAACAGAAAAAAAUAGAAAAAAGCUUUUCUAUAGAAAAGCGAGGUAGAGCUCUAUGCAACCCUCUCGCUGCAGCCAAAGGGCCUUGUGUGGGAACAAAGCAUCCUCAGCAUCAUGGAGAGCUGCUCUCGGUCCUAGCGCAAGCAGGGCUGUUUUGCUGUUUCGCCUUUUCUCCCAUUUCUGCCAAACCUCCCUCCUCCCUCGCUGUCCUCACGUAACGUGGAAGCCUGCCCCAGGCUGAGCUGGUGGCUGGGGGGUGGUUUUGGGGUUGGUGUCGGGAGGAGCCCAGCUGGGUGCUGGGGCUGGAGGAGGUUUCUGCGAGCAGCCGGCGUGGCCCUGGGUAGCCCCAGCUCCACGCAGCGCCGGGGAUCAUCCCUCCCCUCCCACAUACCUGGAAAGGCUCCCUCGGGUGAGAUCACCCAGCGAUGACAACAAUAAUUAGAUGUAAAAUUUAUUGAUUAUGGCAAUACCUGACACAGACCUGCCACACCCUCUGCUGCCAUCAGCAGCCAGGGCUUGGCUCCCCGGCAGGUCCAAGGCUGCAGUCUUGCCCUUUGCUCUUACUGUAAAACCUGAUACCAGGCCCUUAGCUAGGAAAGGACGGGAGGAAAAGGGGCUUUGCAGCUUCCUUUUUGGCUUUCAUUUGAAGCCAUCAGGUUUGUUAUAUUUGGGUUAAAAGCGCUGGAAAGUUUUCAUUAGACUUUUUGCUGGCCGAGGUAUAAAUACGGCGAUAAAACACGGGGGCAGCGUGGCAGCAGGCAGCUGGGAAGUACUGGAGCUCAAAUCAUGGGGAGGGAAGAAAACAGAAGAUGUUUUACAGUCCUGAGACAAAGCACUUACCUCCCCCUGAGAGCUGAAAUGGCCCCUCUGGAGGCAAAGGUUAUCAUUUCAUCUUCAUGAUUAUAGCUGUAAUAAAAUACUCAUAACGAAUUAAUCAUUUGAAUAUUAUUUACCUUUCUUUUCAGCCGUGACUCAUCCAUGGGGACAUCCUACCCCUCCCUGGCCUUAUCCCCUUGCCUUUGGUGACUUGUUUCUGCUCCUCAGCCUUUCACAAAACCAUUUGGGCUUUUGCAGGCUGGGCUGCAACUUCCAUUUUUGUGCACCGAGCGCAUAAAAUGCCUGCAGGUCCUCGUGGGAAACGUCCCCGCUGCGGAUGGCCCCAGUGCUUGGCCAGGAGAAGCUGCCUCUGGUGGAACAAACCACCUCUGUAGCAGGAGAGCAGCCUGCACCAAAUCUGCUGGGGUUUUUGCGAUCUAACGUGCCGAGGAUUCAAAUAAAUAUUGACAGCCGCUCAUCUGCUAAGGCGUACCUAUGUGCUCAGGGAGCGGAGCGAGGCAAUUUGGGUUUUAUUCCUGCCUCUCCCACGGACUUCCUGUCUGCAGGACAGUUUAUCUAAAACACUGCGUACGGCUCCGUGUUGUUCUUUGUUGUUUUUCUUCCUUAGGAGCCCGUAUUGGGCAACAGAUCUGUUUGGACAGCUUUGAUUUUGCGAAAGAUCUUGGAAUUUGUAAUUGGGGCCAGAGGCUGCAGAGCAGCUUUGUUCCCGCGUAGUCACCGGGGUGAAGAUGGUUGUUUGUAUUGUGGGAGCUAUUAAGACACCCAGUUGUCGUCCCUAAUGAGGCUGUGCCGAGGGCUGUACAAACAAGGCUGAUUGAGGAUGGCUGUCAUGUUGGGAGCUUCGUAUUUUGGGAGAAGUCAGUCCUUAAUCCUUCCUGACCAUGGAGACGCAGCAUCAGUUGGUGUAAGCCGGCGUUGUGCCGCUGGCUCUGCCCGAGCUGUGUCAGACGAGGCAAAAUUUUGAUAAGAGCAUUUCUUCCUGAUGACUGUGCAGGACCAUUUCUCUCCUUCCCUGCUCCAUUCUCUUUGCUCAGGUUACGAUGGCGUCAGCCUUGAACCGAGGCGUGCAUCAGGCCCGCAGCCUCCUGUAGCCGUGCAGGGUACCUGUGCUCCUGGUCCCGCUCCGAACGGCAUCUGUUAGUUUGCAAUUGAGUUAAUUAAACAGGAACAGGGGAAGAUCUCACACCAUGUGCAAUCUCAUUGCCACGGGCUGUAGCAAGCAGGGGGAACGGGGAGAAAAAUCCCUCACCAGCAGCUCAACGUGCCGGUCAAGGUGCAGCCUCCAUGGGAAGGGUUAAACAGCUGAGGGAUGGCUGGAGGCUGAAGAAGCGUGGCCAGAGGAAGGACCACUAUAUAAUUACCCUGUGCUUUUGUGCUGGCCAGCGUGUAUUGCUUGAGAUGGAUGGACUCUGCUCUGCCCCAGCGUGCCCGCUCUGUGCCGUGUGUGUACCUGCAGAGGUGGGAUCAGACCAGCUGCUAGCAGCUGGAACCGACCAACAGAUGCACCAGGCCAGGCUCAAAAUGUUGCUCUGUGUCAUCCUGUGGGGACAAAACCUGGAUUUUCCAUUCUAUUCUGAGACACCGUUUCCAGAAAAGCAGAGCCCAGCAUUGGCCAGGACUGGCAGUUUCACCUUGGCUCUGAGAAUUGCAGUAUUUUUGUUUGUUUGUUUGUUUUCCUCAAGGCUUUAGCUGCAGGAGUGACUCUUGACUUUCAUGUAAAAAUUAUCCAUGUAAUUAUGAUUAUACAUAAUUAUAGCUAUAUUUAUAGUUAUUCCUUCAUGAUUUCUUGUAAUCAUCAGAUCUUGUAAUUUGGGGGAGAGGGGAAAAAAACCAAAACUGCUUUAAAUGCAUGGAAAGGAGGCUGGAGAGGGGAGAAAGUCCAUAGCUUGAAUGCCUCCCCCGUGCG